UACAGAGGCCCAAGCCGUUGUUCGGAUUCAUUGGGCGUAAAGGGUGCGUAGGUGGCGCUGUAAGUCAGGUGUGAAAUUUCGGAGCUUAACUCCGAAACUGCAUUUGAUACUGCGGUGCUUGAGGACUGGAGAGGAGACUGGAAUUUACGGUGUAGCAGUGAAAUGCGUAGAGAUCGUAAGGAAGACCAGUGGCGAAGGCGGGUCUCUGGACAGUUCCUGACACUGAGGCACGAAGGCCAGGGGAGCAAACGGG
rnacentral:rRNA from 1 species